rnacentral:rRNA from 1 species
ACCGAACCCACGUCUGUUGAAAAAGACGGGGAUGACGUGUGGCUAGGGGUGAAAGGCCAAUCAAACUUGGAAAUAGCUGGUUCUCCGCGAAAUCUAUUUAGGUAGAGCGUCACGUGAAUACCCUCGGGGGUAGAGCACUGGAUGGGCUAGGGGGCCUCACCGGCUUACCAAACCUAACCAAACUCCGAAUACCGAGGAGUAAUGCGUGGCAGACACACUGCGGGUGCUAAGGUCCGUAGUGGAGAGGGAAACAGCCCUGACCGCCAGCUAAGGUCCCAAAGUCAACACUAAGUGGGAAACGAUGUGGGAGUGCUUAGACAACCAGGAGGUUGGCUUAGAAGCAGCCACCCUUGAAAGAGUGCGUAAUAGCUCACUGGUCAAG